rnacentral:rRNA from 1 species
UGGGGCGGAAACGACACUAACAAUCCUUCGGGUGCGUUAAUGGGCGUCGAGCGGCGGACGGGUGAGUAAUGCCUAGGAAAUUGCCUUGAUGUGGGGGAUAACCAUUGGAAACGAUGGCUAAUACCGCAUAAUGCCUACGGGCCAAAGAGGGGGCUCUUCGGACCUCUCGCGUCAAGAUAUGCCUAGGUGGGAUUAGCUAGUUGGUGAGGUAAUGGCUCACCAAGGCAACGAUCCCUAGCUGGUCUGAGAGGAUGAUCAGCCACACUGGAACUGAGACACGGUCCAGACUCCUACGGGAGGCAGCAGUGGGGAAUAUUGCACAAUGGGCGAAAGCCUGAUGCAGCCAUGCCGCGUGUAUGAAGAAGGCCUUCGGGUUGUAAAGUACUUUCAGUUGUGAGGAAGGGGGUAACGUUAAUAGCGUUAUCUCUUGACGUUAGCAACAGAAGAAGCACCGGCUAACUCCGUGCCAGCAGC